rnacentral:rRNA from 1 species
GACGAACGCUGGCGGCGUGCUUAACACAUGCAAGUCGAACGGAAAGGCCCUGCUUUUGUGGGGUGCUCGAGUGGCGAACGGGUGAGUAACACGUGAGUAACCUGCCCUUUACUUUGGGAUAACUUCAGGAAACUGGGGCUAAUACCGGAUAGGAGCUCCUGCUGCAUGGUGGGGGUUGGAAAGUUUCGGCGGUUGGGGAUGGACUCGCGGCUUAUCAGCUUGUUGGUGGGGUAGUGGCUUACCAAGGCUUUGACGGGUAGCCGGCUUGAGAGGGUGACCGGCCACAUUGGGACUGAGAUACGGCCCAGACUCCUACGGGAGGCAGCAGUGGGGAAUAUUGCACAAUGGGCGGAAGCCUGAUGCAGAAACGCCGCGUGCGGGAUGACGGCCUUCGGGUUGUAAACCGCUUUCGCCUGUGACGAAGCGUGAGUGACGGUAAUGGGUAAAGAAGCACCGGCUAACUACGUG